AAGAAGAAGAUGGACAUUCUGUACUCUUGGAGGCAGAAGAUAUCAGAAAGCAGGCAGAUAUGGAUCAAAUCCAGGCUAUGGCACUCAUCAGCUGCCUCAGUUGUUACUUAAUUUCUCCGAGCCUCAGUUCCUUUGAUAGUCAGAUGAGAAUGAGAACAGUACCUACCUCAGUGGGUUGUCAUGAGAUGAAAUGUUAAAGGUUCUGGCUCAGACAACACAUACCAGCCCUCUUUCACUUCCCCUUACCUCUCCUAUGGCUAAACCCCAGACCAGAAGAACGGGACACUAAACAUCUCUAAAUCUCAUUUUCUUCAGCUAUGAACUGAUGAAGGCUGAUAUAUGGGAAAGCAUUACAUGUUCUUCCCACCCAUCCCAGUGUUUCUUCUGGCCAGUGCUUUCCACUAGCUUUGCAUGGAUAUCAUGCCAGAAGAAUGGAAAUUUAUAUUCACAAUUUUGUAACAAACAGGGGCUCUUGCUUCCCAUCUGAAGCUCAAAUCACCUGAAGGCUUUUCCUCACAUGCUGGCAUCUUGCUGAGAUCACUGGUUGGCAUCCCUCUCUCCAGACAACCUCUCCAAACAAGUAUCUUAGACUUCUUCCCCACAGGGCAGUCUCAGAAUAGUCGGACUUCUUACAUGGCAGCUGGCCGCUCCCAGAGCAAGUACUCUGAUACGCAGGAAGUCAAGGCUGAAGUCUCUUAAAACCUUUGCCCAAAAAACUGGCAGUCACUUCUGCCAUACUUUAUACAACAAAGCUAUCAUCAAACCCAUUCAAAUUGAAAGGGAAAGGGGGACAGACCCCACCCGUCAAAAGAAGAACCGAGUUUGAAGGCCGCAUUAACAAACCACACUCAGAUAGCCUUGCAUGAUCUCCAUCACAAACGUGGGGCUGAUGGCAGACUGAGCCCUAGCGGAUCAUCUACACAUGUAGAUGCCUACUCCCACAGGACAACAUAAUCUUAAUGCUGGGAGAUAAAAGGAGGCAUUGGUCAACUGUGCUAGUUGGCUAUUCACAGUGCUUUCAUUUCACUGUCAGUCACCAAGGUUGGGGAAGUGACUGGAAAGAAAGAAUAAGAGCUUUCUUUGAUCGCUAACAAGUCAUCAAAUUUCCAUAUGCAUUGCCUGUGUUUUAAUGUCUCCCAGUUAAAAAAAAAAAUACCAUUUGUAUUUUCAUGGAGGUACAAUAGGUUUAACUUCAAAUUUUGAUCAUUUUAAGACUUCACUGCUCCUCUUCUUGUACUGGUCCUCCAAGUGCAGAUGAAUGGAUAAUUAGUCAGCGUUAUUGGACAAAUAGAUUUGCAGGACAUUAGCAAUGUAAACUCAUGCUUGAAUUCCUGCUGUGAAUAUUCAUUUAGAUAAGCAGCAAAACUUCAGGUUAUUUUAAAUUAGACCCAGACAUCAAUCCUACAACUACUGGAGACUGUAUCUGUAUAUAAAACUGCUCAUUAAAGCCAGGCAAGAAAGAAGUAACUCCUGGAAAGGCCAACUGAGCAAUUACACCAAAGCUUAUCCCCACCAGUGACUCGUUAAUGAAUAUCUCUGGUGUUCCAGCCCUGGAAGAACCCACAAAGGACAAGGCAAGGAGUUUUCAGUUUUAGAUGACUACUAAACCCCGAGGGAACUGGUUCUCUUUGAAUCCUUUGUCUUCCCCCUUCCUGAUAACUGCAGGCAAGUAGGUGGCUUUUUUUGCCCUGCUUGUCUGGUUUCAUAACAGCCUAUUUCAAAUUUGCUGAGUGACUUCUUCAGAAAUCUCAUAUCAUCAGUUACUUGAGUUCUUCCUUGCCCCACAUGGUCAAAAUAAGAUAGGACAGCUCUAAUAGCUCUUCAGCGGAGGAGAGGGCAGUUCUUCCCUGGUGCGGACAAGGCAAGGGGGACAGUGAGGCAACAUCAAGAGCUUCUUGCUUCACCGGCAUCAAGUGUCCAGAGUACAGCACAGACAGCAGCUUAUGGUGACCAGGAUGAUGGGCAUGGAGAAAAGGGUGCACAGUGUCAACAUGGAAACUGGGUUAAGAAAAUCCCGGGGGAAAAAACAGAUAGCUAAUUAGAGUUUUCCAAUCAACACACACAAACCGGAAUGGAUAUUCAAAGAUGUUCCUCUUUUUUUGUGUGCCAGAAUUUAAGCCUUUUUCUGAGCAUCAGGAAGUUACAGCCGACAGAAGGGGAUUUGGUGAUAGAAAAUAAUAAUAAAAGAAAGUGAUCAUAAAAGA